CCUACGGGUGGCUGCAGUGGGGAAUAUUGCACAAUGGGCGCAAGCCUGAUGCAGCCAUGCCGCGUGUGUGAAGAAGGCCUUCGGGUUGUAAAGCACUUUCAGCGGGGAGGAAGGCGGUGAGGUUAAUAACCUCAUCGAUUGACGUUGCCCGCAGAAGAAGCACCGGCUAACUCCGUGCCAGCAGCCGCGGUAAUACGGAGGGUGCAAGCGUUAAUCGGAAUUACUGGGCGUAAAGCGCACGCAGGCGGUCUGUCAAGUCGGAUGUGAAAUCCCCGGGCUCAACCUGGGAACUGCAUUCGAAACUGGCAGGCUAGAGUCUUGUAGAGGGGGGUAGAAUUCCAGGUGUAGCGGUGAAAUGCGUAGAGAUCUGGAGGAAUACCGGUGGCGAAGGCGGCCCCCUGGACAAAGACUGACGCUCAGGUGCGAAAGCGUGGGGAGCAAACAGGAUUAGAUACCCCUGUAGUC
rnacentral:rRNA from 1 species